CAGGGAGACAACAAAAUGUUUAAUAUUAUUAUUUUGUCACCUUAGGUCGAUCGGUAUCUCACGUUCUUAAUUUGUUAAGAAUUUCAUUUCCUAAGUUUUUCUAGGUCACACCCAUUAUUUUUCCUGGGCCAUUAGCUCAGGUGGUUAGAGCGCACCCCUGAUAAGGGUGAGGUCCCUGGUUCAAGUCCAGGAUGGCCCAUAUCUCUAUGUUGGGGGUAUAGCUCAGUUGGUAGAGCGCCUGCUUUGCAAGCAGGAUGUCAGCGGUUCGAGUCCGCUUACCUCCACUGAUUACCACCUCUUCCAUAACUGGUAGAAAGGAAAUGUUUUGAGUUGUGAUUGUAUUCUGAACGAAUCUAGCUUCCUAAUGAAAUCAUUAAGAUGCUGGACUCAUUGAAUUAAUUUCAUUGUUUUCAGAGAACCUUGACAACUGCAUAGAAUUUUUUAAAGACAAUAAGCAUCUUUAAUGAUGCAGAUUUAUUAUUUGUGCGAAUGCAUUAAUAACAAUUCUAUUAAGCUGAUGCUUCAAUUUUUGAAGUUAUU
rnacentral:tRNA from 1 species